UACGUAGGUGGCAAGCGUUGUCCGGAAUUAUUGGGCGUAAAGCGCGCGCAGGCGGCCUCUUAAGUCUGAUGUGAAAGCCCCCGGCUCAACCGGGGAGGGCCAUUGGAAACUGGGAGGCUUGAGUAUAGGAGAGAAGAGUGGAAUUCCACGUGUAGCGGUGAAAUGCGUAGAGAUGUGGAGGAACACCAGUGGCGAAGGCGACUCCUUGGCCUAUAACUGACGCUGAGGCGCGAAAGCGUGGGGAGCAAACAGG
rnacentral:rRNA from 1 species